AUUGAACGCUGGCGGCAGGCCUAACACAUGCAAGUCGAGCGGUUGACGGGAGCUUGCUCCCUGAUUCAGCGGCGGACGGGUGGGUAAUGCCUAGGAAUCUGCCUAUUAGUGGGGGACAACGUUUCGAAAGGAACGCUAACACCGCAUACGUCAUACGGGAGAAAGCAGGGGACCUUCGGGCCUUGCGCUAACAGAUGAGCCUCGGUCGGAUUAGCUUGUUGGUGAGGUAAUGGCUCACCAAGGCGACGAUCCGUAACUGGUCUGAGAGGAUGAUCAGUCACACUGGAACUGAGACACGGUCCAGACUCCUACGGGAGGCAGCAGUGGGGAAUAUUGGACAAUGGGCGAAAGCCUGAUCCAGCCAUGCCGCGUGUGUGAAGAAGGUCUUCGGAUUGUAAAGCACUUUAAGUUGGGAGGAAGGGUUGUAGAUUAAUACUCUGCAAUUUUGACGUUACCGACAGAAUAAGCACCGGCUAACUCUGUGCCAGCCGCCGCGGUAACAC
rnacentral:rRNA from 1 species